GAGAGGGUGGCUCAGUGGUAGAGCACUUGCCUUGCAAAAAUAAUAUCUGUUUUAACAUGACCCUCUCA
rnacentral:tRNA from 1 species